rnacentral:misc_RNA from 1 species
GAUGAAGAACGUAGCGAAAUGCGAUAAGUAAUGUGAAUUGCAGAAUUCAGUGAAUCAUCGAAUCUUUGAACGCACAUUGCGCCCGCCAGUAUUCUGGCGGGCAUGCCUGUUCGAGCGUCAUUUCAACCAUCAAGCCCCCGGCUUGUGUUUGGGACCUGCGGCUGCCGCAGGCCCUGAAAAGCAGUGGCGGGCUCGCUGUCACACCGAGCGUAGUAGCAUACAUCUCGCUCUGGGCGUGCUGCGGGUUCCGGCCGUUAAACCACCUUCAUAACCCAAGGUUGACCUCGGAUCAGGUAGGAAGACCCGCUGAACUUAAGCAUAUCAAUAAGCGGAGGA